UGAGCAAUCUGCCCUUCUCUUUGGAAUAAGCGUUGGAAACGACGUCUAAUGCCGAAUACGACCUCCUUUCGCAUGAUCGGAGGUGGAAAGCUCCGGCGGAGAAGGAUGAGCUCGCGGCCUAUCAGCUAGUUGGUGUGGGUAAUGGCCCACCAAGGCGACGACGGGUAGCUGGUCUGAGAGGAUGGCCAGCCACACUGGGACUGAGACACCGGCCCCAGACCUCGUAACCGGGGAGG
rnacentral:rRNA from 1 species